GAAAACAGAAGCACACCGGGCAGGGCAGGAUGAGGCAUCUCAUUUCUCAGCCCUGCUUCCUACCACCGGAUGUGAGGCGCAUGAGGGGAGGCAGGCCGGGGGAGGCAGGCCCCUGCUGCCAGGGCCUGGCACUGGCGCUGUGCAGCCCCUUGGGGGGCGGGCAGGGGCGGCCUUGCAGCGCCCCAAGCUCCUCCAGGCCCUGCCCGCAGCACUGGUGCCGUGCCCGGCUGCUGAGAUGCCAAGGGGCACCUCGCCGCUUGGGUCCCGGCCGAGCCCAGAGGUGGCUCACGGGCACGGGUCGGGUUCUCCAGUUAUCUUUUCUCUGGAGAGCAGCAGGGUGCACCCUGAGCACGGCUCUGUGCUCUGUCACAAGAACACCUGCAGCCCCAAGCUGAGGAUGAUGCAGGUGUGGAGCCCUAUGGAGCCUGAUGGCCUGAGUAGCCCCACCUGGCCCCGCAGCUGCCCGGGGCCACGAGCACAUUUAAGCCCAACUCUGUGCCCACAGCCUGUUUAAGCUGUGUGCUGUAUGGUGCUGGUGUUCUGCUGUGGACCAUGUUGUUCCAGAUUCUGGCCUGUAGGCUGGUGGCUUGGCCUCGUUCCUGCCUCAUCCCCAUGGAGCUGACCAGCAGCAGGACCUGAGCCUGACUGUAGGCAGUGUGGCACCCACAGGAUGAACAGAACAGCCAAGAAACAAAAUAUGAGAUGAGCUGAUGCAGUAACUCCCUGAUUACCCAAAAGAUGGAGGACUAGUGUCCUACAAUCUGACCUUCAAUAGAAAAAGAAAAAAUUCUGCUCCUGCAUGAGCUGCGGUGUUGCCUUGGGAGCUGCAAAACCAGCACGAGUGAAGGAGGGGAGUGAGCUGCCCGCUGCUGUUCUGAGCAGACAUCCAGCCCCCAGCAGGGCCUGGCACGGGGGCUGUGGGACUUGUGCCUCCAAGCAGCUCUGUCACCAGGUAGGACAGGAGCCAGACCUGAGGGACAGGUAAGGACACCUCACAUCGGUGAGCAGAGCUGUCAGUUCUCCAUGCAUCACCUCUGCGCUGAUGUCCUGGCCUGAGGAGCCCUUCCUGGUGUGCUCAUGUCCAUAGUACGCAGCUGGUGUUGUGCACUUCCUCGGUGUUGUGGCCAGACCAAAUCAAAAUGGACAGAAGAAAGUGUCGGUGCAGCAGCAGUGGGGAAGUGGAAGCUCCUGCUCUGCUGGAGCAGCUCGGAGGAGCCGGGGCUGCAGGCCUGCAGAGCGCCCGCCUGGCUGCCCAGGAGCUCUGCUCACCACGUGCAGCCUGGCCUGCAGCAGUGAUGUGCACCAAGGUAUGUCAAACGGCCAAAACCAGGAGCUGCUCUAGUAAACUGUACUCCUCUGCAGGGAAUACUACACAGCCUUCUUGAAUAAGACUAAAAGAUUAAACUCAAAGCACAAUGAAAUGCAAAAAAUGCUGUGAAACCUGGUGGGUGGUCUUUUUUUAUUACAGUGAGCUCCUGAAAUAUUCCUGCAUUUCAGGAUCAUGUCACUACCUGAAAUGCUUUGCGAUCUCCUUAUUAAAAAGCAACCCACAUGCAUCCCAGUAGAAGGCAGGUGUCUGCUGCAGAGCUUGCAAGUCUUCAAAAACCUGCCCUGGCUGGGUUGUUUCCUCUAGUUAAGAAUUUGCUGUGAUUUUAAGAAGUGGUGUUUCAGCUCUGUUGCUGUUGACCUUCAGCCAGGGCAAUGCAGUGCCUAAGGCUCUCGCUGUCUCUGAGGAUGAAGGUUUGGUAACUACCGGGGUUCCUGGCAAACCCUGCCUGGGAAUCAGAGAUAAAAGCCACCCAGAGCCCUCUCAGGACGCAGUCUGUGCUUGUGCACUUCCCUCACUCUACCUGUCAGUUGCUAUUCUACAGGAUGGACUCAUGGCAGGGAGAUGUGCAUUGACAGCUACGCCUUUCCCAGUUGCAGAGGUGCCUAAAUUAAAACCUCCACAGGAGAUACGAGGACCUUCUAUUUCCUUUCAGAAUAAUCAAAGUUUAAAUGAGGAAUAUAGAAGGGAAGUAGCUGUCUGGAGACACUCUGGUGCACCAAGUUUAAAGGCAGCAGGCUAAACAAAUCUGUGUGCCUAAAACCAGGUGGCAGCAGCUGAGCCUGGACCCGCAGCAGUUUCAGCAUGCAACUGGCUUUUAUCUGAAGGCAGGCACGGGGAGUGGGGUGGGGUGGUGCAUGUGGCUGUAUGAGCCCGCUGUGAACCAGUGCUGUCCCCAGCAUUGGGACCUGAGGAAUGAUAGCAGUGGGCUGGCCUUGGCUCUGGUGUUUAGCCGGAAAGGUGAUGAUCUGAGGGAAGGGGGGUGGUCCAAGCUGCUGGAGUGGGGUAACAGAAGUAGAGCCCCUGUGCACUGCUAACAACCAUGGCAAGUAUGUGUGAUAACUUGGAACAAGGUUCUGGAGGAUGAGAAGGAUGAGUGUGUGUACAGCCACAGCUCCACUGUGAUAGCCAAGACUGGCUUAAAUUCCUCCUGUUCAGGAUCUCAAAAACAAGAUGCUGGGGUGAACUGGACAGUAUUUGUGACUGCAGGACUCAUGGGAGAAGAUGUGGCUGAAUAAAAAAAAACACCUUGAAGAACUGUUAAAAUAUUCAGUGGAUAACAAUUCUAAUACUUUUGAGUAACCACGGUGGUGGAUUAACCAACUGCAGCAUAGUUAUUCACAUACCCAAUACGAAGUGUACAAGUACAUGUAUUUGCUGAUUCAGAGCCUGUGCUUAUGCUCUGUGAAAGAACACAAUAGUGCCUUUCCCUCAGACUUAAAACUCUGCCAAGGCUUCAAGGUCUCUGUUAGCAGCUCCUGAGCCCUCACCCCAAGCUGUGCCAGCCACCCCCAGCUCCAGCAGGGAAGCUGAUGCUGUGCUGCAGGGUGGUGCUCACUGGGGGCAGCUCCUUGCAGGGAAGGAGCAGCUGAACUGUGCUAGAAAGUGACUUGUAUCUUGGAAAAAAAAUGUUAUUGCAGAUCGUGCCAUAGACACAUUGGGAUAUAUGUUUGCAGUGUAUCUUAGAAUAUUUUGUGGAUACUAAGCAGCAAUUAGUCUUCCUUUGGAAUCAAUUCAUUUCAUACUGCUGUGGUAGCAGGGAGAAUCUUAUUGAAACUCGAGGAUUUUUAAUAUUAUUACACUAAAGACUCAGUAUCAGCAUCUCCGUGGGGGAGCAUUAGCACACUGUAAUGUGCAACAACUUCUCCACUUCAGGAAAUCUUGUUGUAUUUGUAAUAGGGCAUUUGGGGCAUAUAUUAUGUAUGGGACAUAUUUCUCUUUUCCACCAGGCAUCAUCUUUCCUUCUGUCUAAAUUACUCUCCAAAUAAAGAGAAAGAGGAGAAAAAAAAA